rnacentral:rRNA from 1 species
GCUAACUUCGUGCCAGCAGCCGCGGUAAUACGAAGGGACCUAGCGUAAUUCGGAAUUACUGGGCGUAAAGCGCGCGUAGGCGGUUAAGUAAGUUAAUUGUGAAAGCCCAAAGCUCAACUUUGGAAUUGCAAUUAAAACUACUUAGCUAGAGUUUAUCAGAGGAAAGCGGAAUACAUAGUGUAGAGGUGAAAUUCGUAGAUAUUAUGUAGAACACCAGUUGCGAAGGCGGCUUUCUGGGAUAAUACUGACGCUGAGGUGCGAAAGUAUGGGUAGCGAAGAGGAUUAGAUACCCUCGUAGUCCAUACCGUAAACGAUGAUUGUUAGAUGUUGGAAAUUUAUUUUCAGUAUCACAGCUAACGCGUUAAACAAUCCGCCUGGGGAGUACGACCGCAAGGUUAAAACUCAAAUGAAUUGACGGGGACCCGCACAAGCGGUGGAGCAUGUGGUUUAAUUCGAAGCUACGCGCAGAACCUUACCAACACUUGACAUGUCUGUCGCGGAAUCCAGAGAUGGAUUCUUUCGGUUCGGCCGGACAGAACACAGGUGCUGCAUGGCUGUCGUCAGCUCGUGUCGUGAGAUGUUGGGUUAAGUCCCGCAACGAGCGCAACCCCUACUUCUAGUUGCCAUCAGGUUAAGCUGGGCACUCUAGUAGGACUGCCUGUGAUAAGCAGGAGGAAGGUUGGGAUGACGUCAAGUCCUCAUGGCCCUUACGUGUUGGGCUACACACGUGCUACAAUGGCAGUGACAAUGAGAUGCUAAACGGCGACGUUAAGCUAAACUCAAAAACCUGCCUCAGUUCGGAUUGCACUCUGCAACUCGAGUGCAUGAAGCUGGA